rnacentral:rRNA from 1 species
UACGUAGGGCGCAAGCGUUAUCCGGAAUUAUUGGGCGUAAAGAGCUCGUAGGCGGUUCAGCAAGUCGGCUGUGAAAUUCCGAGGCUCAACCUCGGAACUGCAGUCGAUACUGCUGUGACUCGAGUCCGGUAGAGGAGAAUGGAAUUCCCGGUGUAGCGGUGAAAUGCGCAGAUAUCGGGAGGAACACCAGUAGCGAAGGCGGUUCUCUGGGCCGGUACUGACGCUGAGGAGCGAAAGCGUGGGGAGCAAACAGG